rnacentral:rRNA from 1 species
UACGUAGGGUGCGAGCGUUAAUCGGAAUUACUGGGCGUAAAGCGUGCGCAGGCGGCUUUGCAAGACAGAUGUGAAAUCCCCGGGCUUAACCUGGGAACUGCAUUUGUGACUGCAUGGCUAGAGUGCGGCAGAGGGGGAUGGAAUUCCGCGUGUAGCAGUGAAAUGCGUAGAGAUGUGGAGGAACACCGAUGGCGAAGGCAGCCUCCUGGGCCAGCACUGACGCUCAUGCACGAAAGCGUGGGGAGCAAACAGG